rnacentral:rRNA from 1 species
AGGGUUUGAUCCUGGCUCAGGACGAACGCUGGCGGCGUGCCUAACACAUGCAAGUCGAACGAAGCACUUCCGAAUGGAGAUUCGUCAAAGUUCGGAUUUGACUUAGUGGCGGACGGGUGAGUAAUGCAUGAGCAACCUGCCCUGCAGUGGGGGACAACAGUUGGAAACGACUGCUAAUACCGCAUGAUGUGCCGAGGGGGCAUCCCUUUGGCACCAAAGAUUUAUCGCUGUGGGAUGGGCUCAUGUCUGAUUAGUUAGUUGGUGGGGUAACGGCUCACCAAGACUGCGAUCAGUAGCCGGACUGAGAGGUUGAACGGCCACAUUGGGACUGAGAUACGGCCCAG